GGGUUGCCUGAUACCACACUUCACCACCUAAUUAUGGAUUGGUUCUCUUGAGAAAGCGGUUUCACCGCGAAACUAGUCGAGGCAUAGACCAGUCUAUAUGUUUGCAACAACAGAAUUGCCCGGGGGUACUCCCUGAGGUCCUGUUUUUUCAAUUUUACCAUGUAUUCUUUGUUCAACAAUUGUAUGUAAUAAAAUAUAUUUUUAUAUUA